AGUGUGAGGAUGACUGCCCAGCUCUGCGAGGUGCGGCGCACAGGGUAGUUAGUAUCCACGCGGUAAGCAUGCCAGUUGGGUUAUUCGUGCUCAGCCCUAGUGUGCCACAGUCUGCAGGGUAACAAUUUCUCCAUAGGUCCUUGGAGCGUGACCACAACAGUGUGCACCUUCGCUGUCCGUGGGGUAAAGAUGUCUGCCCGGUUUACAGCCUUGCCGCAGACUGCAGGGGGAAAAACGUCUGCUCAAGUCUUCAAUGCGCAGCCGUGGCAAUGCAGCUGUGGGAAGAUGAAAGUCCUGAGGUUCCAAGAAGCAAGGUGAUGGGCCAGGUCAUCCAGUUGAAAACAAGCACCACCAGGCCUGAGCUGAAAAUGAAGAAUGAAGAGGACACUCCUCCAGCUCCUUUCUUCAGCAACUAGAAAAAGAGAAUGUUAGCAUUUCUCUGAUUUGCAAGCUUCUGAGCUAAUUAAUACAACACAGUAUGCUUCUCCCAGAAAGGAAUUUUAAAUAGAUUUUGCUUUUAAGAUGUUCAGUUAAACAGAGCUUCACUGCAGUGCCCACAUUCAUUCAUCCCUCCAUCUACCCAUCUACCCAUCCACACAUUCAUUCAAUGGAUCAAAAUGUGUGCAAUACAAGCUAUCUCUGAGAAUACAGAGGUGAACACCAAAAAAAGGCCAAAGAACAAAAUCAAACUACUACUCCAGAUGUCUAGCUCUGUAAGAGAGACCUAAAUGACACCACUUUGUAAAGCAUAAGGAAGGUGGGCCUUUUCUGAGGGCAUCAGGGAUGCCUGCAAUGUGUGGUCACCUGUGAAUCAAGCCUGGAAGGAGAAGUAGAAAUAUACAGUGUCACAUAUCUAACUAGGAAAGUAAGUGAGGAAGGGAGUAAAGACAUACAUCAGGGAGGAGCAUAGUAGGUACAAAGGCAUGAGGUUGAGGCAGGAAGGAGUGAUGCUGUUGGCACUGUUGGACCUAGAGAUGUGUAUCAAAGAUAGGGCUAAAUAAGGAGAAACAGUAGAAUACCACAGGGGACUUGGUACAGCCAAGGAGCUUGGAUUUUUUUCCCAAGCCAUAGGUUAAGAACAGGCAGAUUUUCAUGAGAAGGAAACUUCAACACAAAGGAAGAACAAACAGCCAGGUCUGGUCGGGGCAGAAGUGCUACAGUGACCCAGGAAGAAAUGGUAGGGCCGAGCUUUGU